UACGAAGGGGGCUAGCGUUGCUCGGAAUCACUGGGCGUAAAGCGCACGUAGGCGGAUUGUUAAGUCAGGGGUGAAAUCCUGGAGCUCAACUCCAGAACUGCCUUUGAUACUGGCGAUCUUGAGUCCGGGAGAGGUGAGUGGAACUGCGAGUGUAGAGGUGAAAAUUCGUAGAUAUUCGCAAAGAACACCAGUGGCGAAGGCGGCUCACUGGCCCGGUACUGACGCUGAGGUGCGAAAAGCGUGGGGGGAGCAAACAGGG
rnacentral:rRNA from 1 species